rnacentral:rRNA from 1 species
UAGCCGUAAACGAUACUCGCUAGGUGUCGGCCACGGUGCGACCGUUGUCGGUGCCGUAGGGAAGCCGUGAAGCGAGCCACCUGGGAAGUACGGCCGCAAGGCUGAAACUUAAAGGAAUUGGCGGGGGAGCACCACAACGGGUGGAGCUUGCGGUUUAAUUGGAUUCAACGCCGGAAAUCUUACCGGGACCGACAGCAACAUGAAGGCCAGGCUGAAGACUUUGCCGGAUUAGCUGAGAGGAGGUGCAUGGCGUAGUCGUCU